UAGAAGUCGAGCUCAAGCACAAAUUCGAUCUUGCUUAACAAGGUACCGGCAAAGUCAGAUCGAAUUUGGGCUUGAGAUUGUCUUCUU
rfam:Populus trichocarpa scaffold_3_contig_242, whole genome shotgun sequence.